UCCACGCCGUAAACGAUGACAACUAGCCGUGGGGACCCUUGAGGUUUUGGUGGCGCAGCUAACGCGAUAAGUUGUCCGCCUGGGGAGUACGGCCGCAAGGCUAAAACUCAAAUGAAUUGACGGGGGCCCGCACAAGCGGUGGAGCAUGUUGUUUAAUUCGAUGCACGCGAAGAACCUUACCACCCCUUGACAUCCUCAGAACUUGUUAGAAAUAACUUGGUGCCUUCGGGAACUGAGUGAC
rnacentral:rRNA from 1 species